rnacentral:tRNA from 1 species
UGGUAUAGUGGUUAAAGCGAUCAACUGUUAAUUGAAAGGUUGGUGGUUCAAAACCACC